rnacentral:lncRNA from 1 species
GGAUUUCAAGGAUGUAUUAUUUGUGUAUAAAGAAAUGGUGAAAGUAGGAAUUGUUCCCAACGUGGAGACUUUGAAUUACUUGUUGGAAGCGCUGUUAGAGGAUGAUAGGGUGGGUACAGCUUUGGAACAAUAUAGAAGGAUGAAUAAGAAAGGGUGUAGUCCUAAUAGUAGGACCUUCGAGGUUCUCAUUAGUGGACUUAUUGCCAGGGAAAGGAUCGAUGAAUCUUUGCUUCUUUUAGAUGAAAUUUUUGAACUUAGGUGUGAGGUGGAUUUGAGCUUUUACACUCGGAUAGUACCGCUGCUUUGCCAGAUUAAUAAAUGUGAGGCAGGGAUGAUGUUACUUGUGAAGAUGAAAGCUUCAAAAAUUUCUCCAGAUUCUUCAACUUAUGGAGCUAUGAUAAUAUGUUUAUGCCAGAAUCUUUAUGUGGAUGAAGCUGUCAACCUUUUUGAAGAGAUGGUGGGCAGCGGAAUAACUCCAGAGGAUGAUCUCUAUGUGGAUAUUGUGAAGGGAUUUUGUACAUUAUGUAAAUUUAGUGAAGCAAAGAAGUUUUUAGUAGAUAAUGAUGUUGAUAUAACUUGUCCUUACAAUGCACUUCUUGGAGCUUAUUGCAGUUAUGGUAAUCUUGCGGCAGCAAAAGAUCUGUUUGAUGAUAUGUUUGAGAGGAGUUUAACUGAUAGCUUGUCUUGGAAUUUCUAUAUUCGGUGCCUAUGUGAGAUUGGCGAUAUCAAGAAAGCCUUGGAAGUUCUUUGUAGAAUGAUUGUUUUUUCAUUUCUUCCUGACUCUAUCACUUACUCCGCUCUUAUCAUUGGCAGAUGCAAGCAGGAUGAACUUGAUGAUGCUAUACUGUUGUUCAAUCAGGUCCAGCAGAAGUGUGAUGUUUUGGAUUCUGUAUCCUAUGCUGAACUUGUUAGAUGCCUUUCUUAUAAUGAAAAGAUUCAAGAGGCUGCUGAAGUUUAUUGUUAUAUGUCAGGAAAGCAAGUAGCUUUGCAGUCAACCUCUUUUGAUUUGUUCAUUAAGGGGCUUUGUGCAAUAAGAGAAGUCGAGAGUGCAAUCAGGUUUCUAUCUCUUGCUCAUUGUUCUGGUACAUCGUACUCGUCUGUAGCUUACUACAGCAUAAUGCGAGUUUUAUCCAAGUUAGAAAAGGCAGAUGACCUUUUAGUGGUAUUAUCACGAAUGAUUGUAGAUGGUUGUCCUGUUGAGGAAGAAACUUAUUUUAUCCUCAUAGAAAGUAUGAGUCUAGCUGAUAAUCCAGACCAUUGUGCUCGGUUUUUCAAUGUGAUGCUCAGCAAGGGUUUAUUACCCAACUCCGAAACACUAACUACUGCACUGUCUUGUUUAGACAAGCAUUCUCAAAUACACAUGAUUUUGAGUGCUAUGGAUCAGCUUAUCCCUUGUUCUAAUAUUCUUGGUUCCAGUACCUAUAACAUGCUCAUCAGGGGCCUUUUGAAAGAAGGAUAUAGGAGUGCAGCUGGUCGCUUGCUAGAUGUAAUGUUGGGGAAGGGUUGGAUUCCUAGUACUGAAACUCAUCAAUUACUGGUUGGUUCUGUUGUAAAAGAGGAAUCAGAAGUAAGAGCAUAUAUGAGCGAAAAUUUUGGUCCGCAGGAUGAGGUUAGCAGCAUACUUGAAAAUGCAUUGGCUCAAACAUAACCUGAUUCCAUAUAUCAACACUAUCAUUGGCCGUUGUUGAAUGUCUCCAUUAAGUGCGAUUGUGAAAGCCUCUGUAAGACUUGUAGAUUUCAUCUCAGACUUCAGUGCUAUAAAAGGUAUGCUAUGUUCACACAGCACAUAACUUUGCUUCACGUGGCAUGGGUACUUAACAAAUUGUUCUUCUGACAGUCUUACAUGCACUUAAUAUGUUGGUACAUACUCCACCAAAUUUUAAAAAAUUUUUUUUUUUUGUGUUUUUAAUUUCUUUAGUGGUAGGGCUGGUGUCGGUGUCAGGUCCUGAUUAUGACACUUCAGUGGAUACUGUCAAGUUGUUUUUCGGAUGCUUCUUUGUUGUAUACGUUCUUUGCGGGGAUGUUUCUCAUCAACUCAUGCUCUAUUACAAAUGUACUGAAUUUUGAAGGAAGUUGCUAGAUGGGAAAGUUGUAGGAGCUCUUUGGAAAGAGAUUCUUUUGGAAAGUCAUCUGUACUUGGAACGUCUGGAAUUACUGUUGUACAAGGCAUAAAGGCUUUUGGUUCAUUCGUCCCGGAUAAGAUAAUUAUGUCGUGGAAACUGAUAAUGAUAGGUAUGCUUGCUGAUAGUUUACGUGAAAUUAAUUAAGAGCUACAAGCUUGCGAUGUGGCCUUUUACAUCAUGCACUGGAGGUUAAGGUAAAAGGGACUUGAAUGAAGACGGUUUAGAUAAUACUUACUUUUUUGGGAGGAAUUAGAAGGUACAAUGAAGUAAGGGGACACUUUUGAGCAGCCAAAAGGAUGAGCCAGUUAUCACCUGAACUCCUAAACCUGGGAGUUAAAUUAAAGGUAAAAAAUCUACAUACAACAGAAUUUACAGAACGAAUGACAGGCAGCUGACAGCAGAUUGUUCAAGGCAUAUGCAAUUUGCAGAGUAUGAAAGAUACGGCAACUGGAUUGGAUCAAUGAAAAUUUUGUGGUAUGCUGGUUAUAUCUUGUAUGUAUAGUAUAAUUGAGCUAUAUUGAAGCAUGUUUAAAGCAGGUCCAACAUUGUUAUUAUGUUGAUCCUUCUUCUAGAUGCAUGUGUACACUCAAGUGGGAAAAAAUUGUGCGAGCUUCUGAUGGCAACCUGCUUCACUUGUAUCUAUUGUAAUGACAUAAAUCAUGGCAUAGUUGUCAAUGACUAGCUCUUGUGAUGUCUGUGAGAAGGUUUAAUGUUUUUGAAUCUUCAGACUAGAAUUAUUAUUAUUAUUAUUAUUAUUUUUGGCUGCCUCUGUGGAGUAGUUGGGAAUUUUCGUGAUUGUUGUACGUGGAAUUUCCACGUAUCAUGUUCACUUUUCUUGUGAAAGGGCAAAAUCUGAACCGUGUAGCGUGUCUGCAUUGAGGUUAAGGCUUGCUCUUUGGGACGGAUAAAUGCAGCUAGUUUGGUUUAGAUUCUGGAUUAAUGACUUAAACAGAAGUAGUCUGGUGGACAUGGUCCUGUGCUUAUCAUUCUUCUCCUAGUCUCUGGGAUUUCAUGCUGUGUAAUUUGUAUCUUCUGGCUUCAGCUGGGAUUUUGGAUCAUUCUUGCCUAGUCUUUGUGGUGGUGUACUUUGUUUCUUUAGCUGGGAUUAUGAUGACAACAUAACCUCGUAAUGCGAGCUCUUUUAUGCAGGCGGGCACUUGUUUGCUGUAAUUGCUAUUGGAUUCUUCAGUCAUGCACAUGCACUUAGGUAUCCAAAACAUGAUCUUGUGUAGUAACAUGGGGCAUGCGGUAGAUUAAGUCUUUCUGCAUGAUUGAGCACAUUUACUAAGGUAAAGCUUAAAGGCCAGUUUAAGUAAUCGCAGCAGUUUUCUCUGGCAAAUUGCCAUCUGCUAGGUCGUAGGUACACAACAUUCAAAAUUAUUUUUUUCUCCAGUUUCUGCUAAUUUCUUGCAGCUAACGAGAGCCGUCCUAGUUAUUCUUUUCUUGGUUUCGUCUCCAAAACCACACGGGGCCAUGCUUUUUCUCUCCCCAACCUGGUAAUGAUCCAUUGCAAUGUUAAAUUCACAUCUGAAAAUGUACUAGCUCGAUUAUCAUGAACGACUGUCUUGUCUAGAUGAUGCUCUUUUCUGCGCGUCCAAUUCGAAGGAAGGAAGGAAGAUUCAUGCGACAGCCAACGGGCAUUGUCUGUGGUUGUUGGACGUGUUGCACGUUUGACGCGAGGUUGGUUUACUUUCCGCGAAUACUGCUGCCAUUGAAGAUCAGUCGGCAGUCUGACUUUGAUUUUUUUUUUUUUUUUUUACUAACGACUGCUAAUCCUCCCAUGGAGGGAAAACCAUCCAACUAUACUAAUUGUUGUUUGUGACCCAAUCUCGUGUGUGUCAAUUUCUUGAUUGUCAAAAGGGAUGGAACAUAAAGACUAGGACUCAAUUCCUGUUUAACACCCCCUAUGGCUUGACAGGAGGAGGGAAAAAAGCAGUGGAGGAGGCAGGCAUACAUGGUACAGGACUAAUGACUUGUCCACUGACUUUGGGUAUUGACUCUCAAGUCUCACCCAUUGGAGGCAAGAAAGCAGCAUGAGUUGCUUGGUCCAUCAAAUUGCCUGGUGGGGUGGAAAGUGGAAAGUGGGAAGUGGGAUUUGUGUGAGUCCUACUACUUAAUAGUGCAUAAUCAUUUUGUGCAUUGUAUGGCUAUAUCCCAUUACCUAGUUGCACAAAUUGAGAUGGUAUGCAAGCCAAGCCAACUGGUGUGUCACUUAAAUGAUACCAGAUUUGGUUAUUGAAUAAAAUUUUCAUAUUGGGUUUUGAACUUUUGAUACAAAUAAAAUUCCAAAUUCACGUAUAAAUGAGUUAAGCUACUUGAGUUUGAAUUAAAGUUGGCUUGAUAAAAUAAAAAUCGGUUGGAGUUCAACGAGAAGGAUGCUAAGGUGCUCGGCUCCGGAGUAGAAGUCCAAUUCUUGAGACAGCUUACAAUUUUAUUUUUUUUUUUUAAAAAAAAGAAGAGAAGAGAGAGAGAGAGAGAGAGAGAGAGAGAGAGAGAGAGAGAGAAAUUGUUCUGGAGGAAGAGAGUAUAAAGAGACUGUAUAAGGAACUAACAGAUAUAUAGACUCAAUAAAUCAAAUGAGUGUUCUAGUAUCUCUUUUAAAUUUUUUUCAUUGUAGGUGAGAUUCGAACCCCUGACUUGCAGUUCAAAGAGAGAUUUAUUCACUUUUUUAUGGCCACUGAUGAUUUACAUCACACUUAAUUUCUCUUUUUAUGAAAAAAUUGGUUGGACAUAUAUCUACUUAUCUAAGACUAAGAGCUGCUUCUAGCAUUGAACAUCAAAGACGAAAUUUUUCAUCUAUGAUUGAACACUCCAAAUCAUUAAAAUUUGAUAGGGUAGGAGAAUCUUGCCUCCCACCAAUUGAUACAUUAAGGUACUAUGGUUAAAAAAUUUAGACGGGUGUAUAAUGUAUCCAUCUGGUCCAAUAUAAAUUAUAUAAUUAUCGUUUUGAAAAAAAAAAAAAAGAACACCCAAUAGAAAGAGAAAGAGAAAAAGAAAAAGAAAAAUGAAAAAAUGUAAGGAGGAGAAGAAAACAAAUUACUCUUUUUAACUUUUUGUUAGCGACUGACUAAUGAACUGCCCAUCCAUCCAAAUGUUCUUGCACAAACGUCACCUAAGCAUAAGCUUUUUUUUUUUUUUUGGGAGAAAAACCUGAGCCCUAAUUCGAAACUUGUACUAUAUGCUAAAAAAGUUGCACUAAAAAUGUUAAAAUGCCGGUUGAGAAAUUAAUGUCUCGAGAAACAGGAGAGCAAUGGCAAUCACGGAAUCCCAGUGUCCCAUUCCUUAUUUGGUGUUAAAUUACUUCCUGAAUCAAUUUUUAGUUUUUACUUCUUCCUCUUCCACAGGGAGCGAUUCCCAGGCAAAUCAUUAAAAAGCGAAAAUCCCAGGUUAGAGUUUGAUCAUUCCCGCUGUUUACUACUUUUCUUUGCUGCAAACCUUUCAUAUGGAACUUCAAUGGCUGUAAAGCUUGCAUCUUUAGCAUUUUUAAAGAGAAUUCCCAAAAGGGUCAAUUUAAAUGCCUCUUUUUCUUCACUUUCAUGUGCAAAUGUUGUUCAUAUCAAUUCAGAAACUGAUCAUACUCCGUCAAAAUCUGCUGAUUUUGAGUCAAAGAUCCAAUUUUUAAAGAAUAAGCUUCAUCCAGAUAUCUUGGUCCAUGUCUUGGAUUCCACAACUGAUGUAAAUUCUUCGUUGAAAUUGUUCAAAUGGGCUUCACUUCAGAAAACGUUUAAGCAUAAUGUGGAUACUUAUUAUUUGAUGAUUUUGAAGUUGGGUUUGGCUGGAAAUAUUGAGGAAAUGGAGGGAUUUUGUAAUGAGAUGUUAAAGGAGAAAUGUCCUGGUUUUGAUGAAGCUUUCUUGGGAUUGAUUGAAUGUUUUGUUAGAAAUGAUAGGCUUGACGAGGCUUUGAGGGUUCUUUCUUGUAUGAAUUCAAGAAGUUUUAAGCCUUCAGUAAGUGUUUUUAAUAUAGUAAUGGGUGCACUUUUGGUGGCAAAGAGGGAUUUCAAGGAUGUAUUAUUUGUGUAUAAAGAAAUGGUGAAAGUAGGAAUUGUUCCCAACGUGGAGACUUUGAAUUACUUGUUGGAAGCGCUGUUAGAGGAUGAUAGGGUGGGUACAGCUUUGGAACAAUAUAGAAGGAUGAAUAAGAAAGGGUGUAGUCCUAAUAGUAGGACCUUCGAGGUUCUCAUUAGUGGACUUAUUGCCAGGGAAAGGAUCGAUGAAUCUUUG